GAAAGUUUAACGUGUGUACUGUCGUUUAGAGGGAAGCUAGUUUUGGCCAGAAAUCAUUUUGUUCCUCAGGUUUCCUUUGUUUUACUUUACCGACUCGGACUUGCAAGGUGGACACCACAGACAUAAUAAGAAAAGAACACAGAAGAGAAGAAUAUCCGGUCAGCUCCCUGCAGAAGUUAAAUGUGAAAACAGCUAAAGAGGCGUGCCUGGCACGUACAAGCAGGAGAGGAGAGACGCAGAUUCUGCCGGCUGUCCUCUUUCAGGAGCUUCCUGAGAUCGUUGCCUCACUCAGAGGGCUUAGAGGCCACGGAAACCUCAAAGGACCAGCUGGACCCUCACAAGCUCAAUGUGCUCAUAGAUGCUGUGUGAUAAAGCACUUUCCAAAUCCCAUAGUGUCUGCAGUCAAAGAAAAUGCAACGAGUCCUAAUCAAAGAUAACCGACCCUCCACUCCAAGAAUAAGGA